ACUGAUUUCACAAUGAAGCGAGUGGCGAACUGGUGAGUAACACGUGGGGAAUCUGCCCAGAAGCAGGGGAUAACACUUGGAAACAGGUGCUAAUACCGUAUAACAACAAAAUCCGCAUGGAUUUUGUUUGAAAGGUGGCUUCGGCUAUCACUUCUGGAUGAUCCCGCGGCGUAUUAGUUAGUUGGUGAGGUAAAGGCCCACCAAGACGAUGAUACGUAGCCGACCUGAGAGGGUAAUCGGCCACAUUGGGACUGAGACACGGCCCAAACUCCUACGGGAGGCAGCAGUAGGGAAUCUUCCACAAUGGACGAAAGUCUGAUGGAGCAAUGCCGCGUGAGUGAAGAAGGGUUUCGGCUCGUAAAACUCUGUUGUUAAAGAAGAACACCUUUGAGAGUAACUGUUCAAGGGUUGACGGUAUUUAACCAGAAAGCCACGGCUAACUACGUGCCAGCAGCCGCGGUAAUACGUAGGUGGCAAGCGUUGUCCGGAUUUAUUGGGCGUAAAGCGAGCGCAGGCGGUUUUUUAAGUCUGAUG
rnacentral:rRNA from 1 species